AUUCAGCUGACGAGUCCCGAAUAGGACAAAAGGUGCGUCCUGGAU
rfam:Schistosoma haematobium scaffold809_34, whole genome shotgun sequence.